rnacentral:rRNA from 1 species
GAUGAACGCUAGCGGGAGGCUUAACACAUGCAAGUCGAGGGGCAGCACGAGGUAGCAAUACUUUGGUGGCGACCGGCGCACGGGUGAGUAACGCGUAUGCAACCUACCCUGUACAGGGGGAUAACCCGGAGAAAUUCGGACUAAUACCCCAUGGCACUGCGUUUCAGCAUUGGGAUGCAGUUAAAGAUUUAUCGGUAUAGGAUGGACAUGCGUCUGAUUAGCUAGUUGGCGGUGUAACGGACCACCAAGGCGACGAUCAGUAGGGGUUCUGAGAGGAAGGUCCCCCACACUGGCACUGAGAUACGGGCCAGACUCCUACGGGAGGCUG